rnacentral:rRNA from 1 species
UCCGUAGGUGAACCUGCGGAAGGAUCAUUAAUAGUGCCCUCUGAUGCAAAUCAUUGGGUUAGAUCUGCUCUCUUCGCAAGAAGAGGGUUUCCAUACACACCGUGAACUGUGGCUUCGGCCAUCACAAACUGUUAGUAAUGAAUGUAAUAUCAUAACAAAAACAAAACUUUUAACAACGGAUCUCUUGGCUCUCGCAUCGAUGAAGAACGCAGCGAAAUGCGAUAAGUAAUGUGAAUUGCAGAAUUCAGUGAAUCAUCGAAUCUUUGAACGCACCUUGCGCCCUUUGGUAUUCCGAAGGGCAUGCCUGUUUGAGUGUCAUGAAACCUCACCCCACUUGGGUUUUUGCCUGAGCGGUGGUGUAUUGGGUGUUGCCUUGCUAAAGGCUCGCCUUAAAGACAUAAGCACCUUGGAUGUAAUACGUUUCAUCCUUCUGGGUGGCUGAUAACCCCACAUAUUCAUGAUCUGGCCUCAAAUCAGGUAGGGCUACCCGCUGAACUUAAGCAUAUCAAUAAGCGGAGGAA